UUAACUUAUUCGGUUGUUACUCAGACGCACGGAUGCAGUGUUUGGGUAAGGUCCACCGGGGGCCCCGACACCCGUGAGGGCCGGGUCGCCCCCGAGGCAACAGAGUCGGAUUUCAAAGGGUUGGAGGUCGAGCCAGAAGGCCCUCACUCGGUAAUGAUCCCUCCGCAGGUUCACCUACGGAGA
rnacentral:misc_RNA from 1 species